GACGAACGCUGGCGGCGUGCCUAACACAUGCAAGUCGAACGGACAGGCCCUACUCUUGUGGGGUGCAUGAGUGGCGAACGGGUGAGUAACACGCGAGUAACCUGUACUUGACAUAGGGAUAACUUCAGGAAACAGGGUAUCAUACCGGAUAGGAGCUCCUGCUGCAUGGUGGGGGUUGGAAAGUUACGGCGGUUGGGGCUGGACUGGCGGGUUAUCAGCUUGUUGGUGGGGUAGUGGCUAACCAAGGCUUGGACGGGUAGCCGGCCUGAGGGGGUGACCGGCCACACUGGGUCUUAGAGGCGGCCCAGACUCCUACGGGAGGCAACAGUGGGGAAGAUUGCAGGAUGGACGGAGGGCUGAUGCAGCAGCUCCGCGUGCGGUAUGACGGCCUUCGUAGUGAAGACCGCAUGCGUCUGUAACGGAGCGUGAGUGGCGGUAAUGGGUAAAGAAGGACCGGCUUAAUUCGUG
rnacentral:rRNA from 1 species